rnacentral:lncRNA from 11 species
GGCUGUUGUCAGAGCCUCCUGAUGGGGAGAGUCAGCUGGAGAUGCUGGUGAAGCUGCUCUUUGGGGCGUCCACGCGGCUCCAGCCCAAACCUGGGCCGCUGCUUCCUCUCCCAAGGCGGGCGUCAACGGGGUCUCCGUCCGGAAUGCCCUUUGCUGGAGGCCAGGCUGCCCCCAAAAAGGCCGCGGAGAAGGAGGAGCAGACCGAGGGGGAGGGGGAGGGGGAGGGGGAGGGGUCACCCCCGGGGCCGGAGCCCCGCUGGACCUUGGCCCCGGUGUCUCUGUGACGAGGCUCUCCCCCAUGGUCCGCCUCUACCGGCCCCCUCAGGAGCAAACAGAUAAUUUACGUAUAAAUGUGAAGGCAGACUCGGUCUGAUGCCCCGCUCCC